CUCCAAUUAGUGACAGCGUACAGCAGAGGCCCGUUGGUAUACAAGCGCUAAGAUCCUCGGAGGAAUAGUUCAAAAUGGCCUGCUGGCAGGGGAAUGUCGACAGACCACGAUGGGAAUUUUCCUGAGGCAGCGUUGGUGGAAUCCUUCAAGAAGUUGGGAGUGGCGUUUAUAAAUGGUCCAUGUUUCACAGACGUACAGUAAGGUUCUCUGGAAAGCUCAGGCAAUGGGCUGUGUCACUAUCCACUCCCCAUGCAAGAGGGUGCAAAACAGAGACUUUUGUUUGUUUGAGCUGGUAAUUCAGGAAUGAUGAACAGUUCUACUACUCUAUAAUGUCUUCAAAACAAGCAAAGGGAUUAAGGACGACUCUUGUUAUUAUUGCUCCUAAAGAAAACAAGCCGAAUGAAAUACCUUCUCAUUUUUAUGCUCCAGUAUCCCCAAUUAGCUCUGAGGCUUCCUUUGAAGAACUUUCCGGACUUGCAUUGGGGAACUGGAAGGAGGCACAAGGUGGGCAGCAGUGGUGGACAUUCCCAGAGCCCCAGCGUCAAGUACCUUCUGCUGUCAGGGAUGGUACUCAACCCACCUGCCCCAGGGCUCUAUAUGCAUCAUUUCUGUUUGGGGGAAAGGCCUUUUGGAGGACAAGAGCGGUCGCCUGGAGCAGGGGAAGAAAGGGACAGUGGGAAAAGGUCAGGAAGGCAAGAAAUCGAAGAGCAGCAGAGAGGAAGAGGAAAGAGAAGGAAAACUACCCUCUGGUGCUGCUGUGAAACAGAAGAAACUCCAAGUUCAUGGCAUUUCUUCUGUGUAGAUGAUCACUCGGUGCAGGUGAAGCUUGGCAGGAGGAAGGCCAUCUCACUCUCCUACAAGUUCAAGAAGUUUGGAAAGAACAGAGCAGAUUCUAAUGCAAGUUUACUUUUCCUGUUCUAAUGAAUUUUCAUGGCGGUGUUCACCCUGGCUGCUGCAAUUCAUAAGAGAAAAUUAAAAACCUGCCUUGAAACCUGGAUGACAAUGCAGCUAACAUCUUGCAGUUGCUGGCAUUAUCCUUUGAGAACCUUUCAGCUCCAUUUCUAUGCCACAUUGUUUUCCCUCACAAAAACAUAUUUUAAAUAUGAAACAUUGAAUGUUCAUUGCUUCUUUAUAUCAUUUUUUAUUCAUUGUGUGUUGGAGGCAAAGGCCAUGGGUUUUAUACAGCAGAAUGUCUGAUUUUGCCAUUUUAUUUGACGGCACAGAUUCCCUAAGAAAUCUAUUUUCUUUUAGGUGCAGAUGUUCUUCUGGGGAUGGGGAUUGCAAGUUUCUACUAGGGGCUACCAGAUCUCCACGGAUUCUGAGAUAAGGGGGCAGGGUCCAGUAGUUACUGGCAGGUUAACAAGGUGGGACAGUUGCAGAAGCUCUUUCUUCAGCCUGCUAUUGCCAACUUCUCAUAAGCCCCAUGCCAAAUGGUACCACUCACAUAUAAUAUCAGCCCAAGACCAGCUCCAGGUUUGGGGGGGGGGCUGGCAAAGUGCCCUCCUUCAUCAGUGGGUCCUCAACAGCCAUGGGCUUAUUUAGUGGCAAUAGCAAGCAGCCACAAAGUAUCAUUUUAAGCUUUCUACAAUGCUCAGGUGCUCUGGGGCACUGUGGGAAAUUUAAAACAGCAGCUCAUAGCAUCCCAGUACCAAGGGGCUCAAGGCAUGGGUUAGUGCUGGAAGGCUUUGGCAGGGUACCCAAGGGUGCCAGGUGCUGAUGCUGGGCCUAGAGCAGACUUCCACAAACAAACCAGCACAGUUCAGAAUACCUGUGUGCUGCAAGCAGAAAUCAAUAGCUAAUAAAGGGCGUGCAUGGUAAAUCAUUCCUAAUGACACCACACUCUUCUGAGUUAAGCUACAGAUGACAGGGCAUAUCAAAAUACAUGUAUGCACACAUAUAUGUAGCAUAUUGGUAAGGAAAUAAGCUAGGCUUGCAAACUGAACUACAGAAGCUGCAAGCCCCACUUUUUACAAAUAGCCCACGUUUAUUAUUAUUUUAUUAUAUUAAAUUUAUUAGAUGGUUGCUAUCCGAAGGUCUCCAAGUGGCUUACAACAUAAUUAAAACCGCAAAUAAUAUAUCAUAUAUAAAACAAAAGGAAAAUAAAAUAAAAAAUAACCACCCCCAUACAGCUACAGAAAGCUUUAGCAGCACACUAAUCCUAGCUGCCAAAGCAAAUAACAAUAAGAAUGAUAAUAAUGAUACUCUUCAUCCACUCUCCAGCAGAUAAAAAAUAAAAAGCACAAACAUAAACACACACAAAAACAUAUCUCCCCUGCCCAAGGUCAGGUGUGUUAUUCUGGGAAUUUGCUACCCCUCCCCACCCAGGAAUCUUUGCUUCAAAGCCAGCUGCUUCAUUCACUGGGGAAGUGGGUUUUCCUCCAGGGAUGGGCUGAUAGCUCUCCUCUCCUUUCAGAGAGGGCAGUAGCAACAUGCAGAGCGGUAGCAGGUGGCAAGAAGUUUGUUCUGCAGAUGUUCUGGCUACUGUACCUCUCCUGUUGCUGAUAAUCUGUGCCAGCCUUUGAGUCAUAGUAUUUGGUAUCUUCCUCCACUCAUAAUCACUUGAUUUCUGUUCUCAUAUCUGACAGACAUGUGAAUCAUGGCAAUUUCUGCUCCGAUUUCUGUUUCUGAUGGCAUUUUCCAACACUCAUUAAUGUUGUCUUGCCAACUAUGGGCUUUCUGAAACUUUUUUGCUUCAUCAGUCAGUCUCUUUAAUCCCUGGACUUGCUUAGCCAACAGACCCUCAAUGUCCUCUGUCACUUUUCCCCACUAUUUUCUCUGGGAUGUUCUCUUACUUCGAACAGGUUCUUUUUUUCAUUGUAGAUCCAUUUGAGCCACCAAAUAGCCUCAUCACUCCAUCAGUCUCUUGCUCUAGCCUUCUGGCCCAGUACUGCAUUUUUCUCCUCCCUCAAGAGGCAUCCUCUUCCAUACACUUGCAUACCAAAACAAGUAAUUUGCGGCAUGCCAAAAGUCUGAACAAAACAAAAAUACUGUAUCUCCUCUCAUCCAGUUUCCAAAAAAUGGCCUUAUUUGUUCAAUGAAAGCAAGUAAAAGCAGGGCAAUCUUUAUAAGUCUGAAUCCAGCAUUUCCUAUACCCGCCAAAUGUUGGAGAUGUGUAUGGCUAAGCUGUACUUAGUUUCACCUCUGUAUGCCCCAAUGCAUCCUUGAUCUUUUGUUUCCUGGUCUAUUAAAGCCU